GACCAGGCCCCACGCGACGGAGCCCUGCCAACCCCGUCAGGACCGGAAGGUAGCAGCGGUACGCAGUUUCGCUUCGGGCGCCGUGGAUCGCCUGGUCGAC
rnacentral:SRP_RNA from 1 species